rnacentral:rRNA from 1 species
GACGAACGCUGGCGGCGUGCUUAACACAUGCAAGUCGAACGAUGAAGCCCUUCGGGGUGGAUUAGUGGCGAACGGGUGAGUAACACGUGGGCAAUCUGCCCUUCACUCUGGGACAAGCCCUGGAAACGGGGUCUAAUACCGGAUACGACUGCGGAAGGCAUCUUCUGCGGUGGAAAGCUCCGGCGGUGAAGGAUGAGCCCGCGGCCUAUCAGCUUGUUGGUGGGGUAAUGGCCUACCAAGGCGACGACGGGUAGCCGGCCUGAGAGGGCGACCGGCCACACUGGGACUGAGACACGGCCCAGACUCCUACGGGAGGCAGCAGUGGGGAAUAUUGCACAAUGGGCGAAAGCCUGAUGCAGCGACGCCGCGUGAGGGAUGACGGCCUUCGGGUUGUAAACCUCUUUCAGCAGGGAAGAAGCGAAAGUGACGGUACCUGCAGAAGAAGCGCCGGCUAACUACGUGCCAGCAGCCGCCGUAAGAC